rnacentral:rRNA from 1 species
AGUGAACGCUGGCGGUAGGCCUAACACAUGCAAGUCGAACGGCAGCACAGUAAGAGCUUGCUCUUACGGGUGGCGAGUGGCGGACGGGUGAGGAAUACAUCGGAAUCUACUUUUUCGUGGGGGAUAACGUAGGGAAACUUACGCUAAUACCGCAUACGACCUACGGGUGAAAGCAGGGGAUCUUCGGACCUUGCGCGAUUGAAUGAGCCGAUGUCGGAUUAGCUAGUUGGCGGGGUAAAGGCCCACCAAGGCGACGAUCCGUAGCUGGGCUGAGAGGAUGAUCAGCCACCAUGGAACUGGGACACGGUCCAGACUCCUACGGGAGGCAGCAGUGGGGAAUAUUGGACAAUGGGCGCAAGCCUGAUCCAGCCAUACCGCGUGGGUGAAGAAGGCCUUCGGGUUGUAAAGCCCUUUUGUUGGGAAAGAAAAGCAGCAGGUUAAUACCCCGCUGUUCUGACGGUACCCAAAGAAUAAGCACCGGCUAACUUCGUG